CAGAAGGCCAGCUUACUUCUGCCCAUUUCUGAUCUCUUCAUCCUGUUUGUUCUCACUCCCACAUGGCUGUUUACUCUGAAUUAGUGGCCAAUUAGUAAACCAGAGAGGUACUGAAGAAAUAUCGGAGAGGCAGUUCCUGUCAGGACAAUACUUGUUACAUCACAGAAGAAGCUAGGGAUCUCCAGGAUACAAAAGAUUUUUCAGGGAGGCCUAAUGAUGAUGUCACUGAGAACUGCCAUGUCCUUAGCUGCUGAGCAGCGUUCCUUUCAUUGACCAGAUUCGAGGGUGUCCUUUCCAGGAGAGUCUCCUAUUGCACAGUUGAAACCUUUACAUACUCCAUCUCUCUAAACCUAGAGACUUCUCUCUGCUUCACUAGUAGUUAAAAGCUCUGAAUGGAGAAAGUUAGUCAGGGUCUUGGCAUGGGUAGAAAACAUUUAGGAACAUGGAAUAUAGGAGAUCUUCUAGAUAAUACUUAUAUCCCCAGGUUCAUACCUGUGACUCAGUUCAACAUUCUAAGUAUUCUGUUUCCCAAAGGCCAGUAUUUUCCCUACAGACGUUUAAUUGAAUUAAUAUUGUAUUUCAAUUUCUUAUUGAAAAUUCGUUGAUAGGGGACUUUGAAAAUAUUCCUCAAUGUGUACUCAAAAAUUCUGUUUUCCAAUUCCAUUUUCUGCAAAGGUUUUGGCAACAAAGGAGGCCCAACUAUAGAGUAAGCAUAACACUGUAAAUACUGUAUACCUAAUUCAAAUUAUAAAUUCCCAAAUCCUUAUUUUAACAAAAAAUUACCAGAUAUCAGAAAAGCAAAGCACAACAUGGACUAUUGAAUUCGGUUCUCUAGUCCCAUUUGAUAUCAGUUCUGCAAUAUCUACCUUCCUGAGUUUCAUUCCCAUACUUGAGGGUUUUGAGUAUUUUACCAUGAUUAGUUAUUAAGGCCAAACAUAAGAUAUAGGAGGCUGGGCAUCUAGAGGAAUGACUUGAGGACCAGUGACGCCUCAAUUUCAGAAGUUUCAAAAAACAGGAUGGAGUCUAUUUGGUGUUGCCAUUUGUGGAUUCUACAGUCUUGACCUAGAUAUGCAGAACCCAUGUCAAAAUUCCAGCUAAACUCAGAGCUGUAGGAGCCACCAAAAGUACAUACAUAUACAUCAGCCACCAAAACUAGACAAGAUUGAUGAAGAUUUUCAGGAAAGAUUACAAGAGCUGAAGGGGCUUUAACACCAUAAGAACGACAAUGCUAAUGAACCAGAGCUUUCUGAUACUAGACCUAUGUUCAAGAAUGUACAUGGACAGAGUUAUGGCUCCAACUGCAUAUGUGGAAGAGGAUGGACUUGGUGAGUACUAAUGGAAGGAGAAGUCCUUGGUCCUCCCUAGGUUUAACUCCAAGUUCCAGGGAAUGUUAAGGGGUAGUAAGAAGGGUUAUAGAAGACGGGCAGGGG
rnacentral:lncRNA from 1 species